ACUCGUGUAUUAUGUGUGUUUUGUUCUUAAACUCGGCCCGUGCGGCGUUAAAUUACGCAAAUAUGGCGUAAUAAUCGAGAAAGUUUGACACCAGCUUCCCCCGAACGUCGUCAUCUUCCAAGGACGCCAUUUUGAAACAACUUGCUUAAAUGUAUCAACAAAAUAUAAAAAUCUCUCGCGCCACACAACACACACACAACACACACACACACACACACACACACACACACACACACACACACACACACAAAAGUAGUUUUAUUAUUCGCAAAUCUGAAAGACGGAUCGAUGCAACAGUUCUGUGUUUUUUUUUGUUGUUGUCGUCGAUGCUGUAGUAGUGUUUCAUUGAUGGCAACGAGAUAAAUUUUUAUCGCAGACGUUUAUCAGCCGUCGACUCUUCUUGUAUAGGUAGCCCCAUAUGAAAGGCUAGAGAGAUACAAACACGUGUUAGUUCUCAUCUUACUUCUACGAAACAAUGCCGAAGAACUUUCAUCUGUGUCGUUCGAUAAAAGCUGCAACACCCCGAUAAGAUUUCAUUUCGUUCAUCGUACAAGGUCAUCGUACAUUCUUCUCAUCUAGUAUCGACCGCAAUUUCACCGACUUCCAAAACGUUAUUAAGUGGCAGCAUUCAAAAAUUCUUUCCCUCCCCGCAACGUGUGACGCUCGUUAAUGUUGGACGACUCUCAAAAUGGGGUAACACGCGCUCGACGAUCGAUAAUACUUCUCUUCCAUCUAGUCUUUGUUCUGCCACAACUGGCUGGCAGAGAGCACACAGCAUUUUCGCUUCUCGUUUUAUGAUUUCUCGGUUUUCGAAAACUCGCAUCGCCAUUUCGUACCGUUAAUCAACGGUUAAUGAUAUGCGCCAAACAAAAUUUCGUAUCCACAUGUUAACAUUUGGUGUUUGUUUAAAAUCCGGUUUUGUAAUCAAAUAUAGUGUAUCGUAUCGAAUAUCUAUAAAAAACAACUCCAGUACGACAUAUACAAAAAAUUUAGUGCGAUGUAUACAAACAUUCCAGUAUGAUAAAUACAAAAAUCCAUUGUAUACAUAAAUCCUGUAUGAUAUAUAUACAAAAAUUCAAUACAAUAUAUAGGCUAUUGUACAUAAAAUCAAUCCGACAUGUACACAAAAAUCUGUACAGUAUCUACAAAAACCCAACAUGAUAUAUACACAAAAAUCUGUAUGGUAUCUACAAAAAUCCAGCACGACAUGUAUACAAAAAUCUACAAAAACCCAACACGAUAUAUACACAAAAAUCUGUAUGUUAUCUACAAAAACCCAACACGAUAUAUACACAAAAAUCUGUAUAGUAUCCACAAAACUCAACACGACAUUAUACACAAAAAUCUGUAUAGCAUCUACAAAAACCCAACACAUAUAUACACAAAAAUCUGUAUAGUAUCUACAAAAACCCAUCACGACAUAUACUCAAGAAUCUAUAUAGUAUCUACAAAAACCGAGUACGACAUAUACACAAGAAUCUAUAUAGUAUCUACAAAAACCGAAUACGACAUAUACACAAGAAUCUAUAUAGUAUCUACAAAAACCGAAUACGACAUAUACACAAAAAUCUGUAUAGCAUCUACAAAAACUCAACACGAUAUAUACAUAAAAAUACCUACGGUAUCUACAAAAUUUAGUUUUGUAUGUAUAC
rnacentral:lncRNA from 1 species